CCCCGUCUUUGUGCGGCCGACUACUGGCGCCGUGUCCCGUCAUUCGUGUGGCUUAUGUCGCUAUUGCCUUUGAAGUGCUUGCGUGCAGGUACCCGACCUACGGGAAGUGGUGCUUUCUAAACGGUUGCCUCGCGGUGCAUGCCUUCCGGUGUGCCACUGCGGCCAAAUGGUGCUUGCGGCGUUGCCUCGUGGUGCUGUUGCUCUUUACGUGCACGGUGCUAUCAACGCAGCCUCGCUCGCGCUCUUGGUUUUGGAUGCUGCUCACGAUAAAGGAUAAUGGCCCUUUUGGUUGCCUUUACCCGACCCUUCAGAAGCUCUCCGAAUUUUGAGAACAACCGUGAACAGGUGUUGCCUCUACCUCUCCACAGUUAGUGGUAGGAUUACGCAACAUUCUGCGCCGAUCCUCAAAGUAGUAGGAUGAGCUUGGCCCGCUCAAUUGUGACAACCGACCCGGGCGUUGUUUCGCCCUGCGACGCAAGUUACGGGGUGGACGACAACCGACGCCGGACGUCAACGAGGACGUGCUACCUGGUUGAUCCUGCCAGUAGUCA
rnacentral:misc_RNA from 1 species